rnacentral:misc_RNA from 1 species
GAAAUGCGAUAAGUAAUGUGAAUUGCAGAAUUCAGUGAAUCAUCGAAUCUUUGAACGCACCUUGCGCUCCUUGGUAUUCCGAGGAGCAUGCCUGUUUGAGUGUCAUGGAAUUCUCAACUCUAUUUGCUUUUGUGAAUAGAGCUUGGAUUUGGAGGUUUAUUGCUGGUACUUGUGAUCGGCUCCUCUUGAAUGCAUUAGCUCGAACCUUUGCGGAUCAGCUAUCGGUGUGAUAAUUGUCUACGCCGUUGCAGUGAAGCAUAUCAAUGGGCUCGGCUUCCAAUCGUCCUUUACUGGACAAUGACUUUGACCUUUGACCUCAAAUCAGGUAGGAUUACCCGCUGAACUUACGC